CGGGGUGCAGCAGGCGCGAAAACUUUACACUGCUGGCAACAGCGAUAAGGGGACCUUGAGUGCCAGGAUACAAUCCUGGCUGUCGUGAUGCCUAAAAAGCAUUAUAUAGCAAGGGCCGGGCAAGACCGGUGCCAGCCGCCGCGGUAACACCGGCGGCUCGAGUGGUAACCGCUAUUAUUGGGUCUAAAGGGUCUGUAGCCGGCUUGGUUAGUCUCUUGGGAAAUCCGGCAGCUUAACUGUCGGGCUUUCAGGAGAUACUGCCAGGCUCGAGACCGGGAGAGGUGAGAGGUACUUCAUGGGUAGGGGUGAAAUCUUGUAAUCCUUGAAGGACCACCAGUGGCGAAGGCGUCUCACCAGAACGGAUCUGACGGCAAGGGACGAAAGCUAGGGGCACGAACCGGAUUAGAUACCCGGGUAGUCCUAGCCGUAAACGAUACUCGCUAGGUGUCGGUCACGGUGCGACCGUGGUCGGUGCCGUAGGGAAGCCGUGAAGCGAGCCACCUGGGAAGUACGGCCGCAAGGCUGAAACUUAAAGGAAUUGGCGGGGGAGCAC
rnacentral:rRNA from 1 species